AGGCAAUGUUUUAAAAUCUGGAAAAUAUAUAACUUCAUUUUGUCUUAGUUGAAAAAAUAGGUUGCAAUUUUUCCUUAAUAAUGUAACCCUCUAUAUUCUUUACCUACAAAUGUGAGUUUUGAAUUUCUCUCGGCAGAUUAUGUUACUAUAUGCAUGGAUAUAAGUUUUCUUUAGUUUUAAAGAUAAGUCAUGUCUUGCAAAUAAUUUUACUUAGUUUAGUCAUAAUAGUAAGGGAUUAUUUUCAAGAGCGAUAUAGCUUUGAAGUUGUGUUUCUUUGGCAUAUUAGACAAUAUGACUAUAUCACUUAAAAUUGAUUUUGUUGUUCGUUAAUGUCCCUUUUGGCGUCCUUUAUAUGAUAAAAUUUUUAGCUUGUGUUUUCCUUAGUUUUAAAGUAUUUUAGAUUAGAGUUGAGUGUUUGUUGUUGAUUUUUUUCUAGAAAUGAUAUGCAGGUUACUAUAGUUAUAUCUUUAUUUUAUUAUAC
rnacentral:lncRNA from 1 species